ensembl:lncRNA
AGGAUGGAGAGAGAGAUGGACUACAAACUGGGACAGGUAGGAUGGAGAGAGAGAUGGACUACAAACGGGGACAGGUAGGAUGGAGAGAGAGAUGGACUACAAACUGGGACAGGUAGGAUGGAGAGAGAGAUGGACUACAAACUGGGACAGGUAGGAUGGAGAGAGAGAUGGGCAACAUGGACUACAAACUGGGACAGGUAGGAUGGAGAGAGAGAUGGACUACAAACUGGGACAGGUAGGAUGGAGAGAGAGAUGGACUACAAACUGGGACAGGUAGGAUGGAGAGAGAGAUGGACUACAAACGGGGACAGGUAGGAUGGAGAGAGAGAUGGACUACAAACUGGGACAGGUAGGAUGGAAGGAGAGAGAGAUGGGGAACAUGGACUACAAACUGGGACAGGUAGGAUGGAGGGAUGGAAGGAGAGAGAGAUGGACUACAAACUGCGACAGGUAGGAUGGAGGGAGAGAGAUGGGACACAUGGGCUACAAACUGGGAC